CCUACGGGAGGCAGCAGUGAGGAAUAUUGGUCAAUGGGCGCGAGCCUGAACCAGCCAAGUCGCGUGAGGGAAGACGGUCCUAUGGAUUGUAAACCUCUUUUGUCGGGGAGCAAAAGACGCCACGCGUGGCGUUUCGAGAGUACCCGAAGAAAAAGCAUCGGCUAAUUCCGUGCCAGCAGCCGCGGUAAUACGGAGGAUGCGGGCGUUAUCCGGAUUUAUUGGGUUUAAAGGGUGCUCAGGCGGAAGAUCAAGUCAGCGGUAAAAUUGAGAGGCUCAACCUCUUCGAGCCGUUGAAACUGGUUUUCUUGAGUGAGUGAGAAGUAUGCGGAAUGCGUGGUGUAGCGGUGAAAUGCAUAGAUAUCACGCAGAACUCCGAUUGCGAAGGCAGCAUACCGGCGCUCAACUGACGCUCAUGCACGAAAGUGUGGGUAUCGAACAGGAUUAGAUACCCUUGUAGUC
rnacentral:rRNA from 1 species